rnacentral:rRNA from 1 species
GUGUACAGCUAUACCACCCUGAAUGUGAUCUCCUCUGAUCUCAGAAGCUAAGCAGGAUCAGGCCUGGUUUGUCCUUGGAUGGGAGACCGCCUGGGAAUACUGGGUGCUGCAGGGU